CCAGAGAGGGCACAUGUGCCUCAAUUGGCCUAUAGCAUAGGGGCUCAUUAUCCUUCCACCGCUGGUGGCGGGCGGUACUCGCUGCUCUAUGAAACCAGCCUCACGCAAUGUCCGCCACUUUAGGUGUUGGGAUGCAAAGGCUUUCGCCAAGGCACCCGAAACCCACUACAUAACUUGGAAUGGGUAGUCCACAGUUUGUAGCACUAGACCCAGGCACAUGCACCACAAUUGACAUCCACACUACCUUAUUGCCCCCGCUCGGGUUACAAGCAAUCGCUAUUUGCUCAGCGAGUGAGGGGGUUCAGGACUACCUAUUUAAGGUGGUGUUGUACUCUAUGAGCCGACGGUGUGGUAUUUACCAACAACAAAUAGUGUCAUGCAUGUGACUUGCUAGUUGACAAAGUCUGUUGUCGAGCUAGAUGUGGGCUAUGGCUGAAGCACAUUAGGAUAUAAUAUGCCUAUUUUGUUUUUUUGUUGUUUUUUGGGCCACGAUGGACAUUAUGUUGAUGUAGUGAAAUUUUUUCUUGUGUUUCCUCUUCCUACGAAGUGGAAAGUGGGUGCGUCAGAGAAGAAAGAAAGAGUGGCUAGCAUUGAUUUUACGUCAUCCCAUUGAGAUUACUAAUCAAAAGCAGAAGCAACAAUAUUUCAUGCAUAUACAACACUUGUAAUCCAUAUAAACAACUUUCCUUUAAAAUAUAAUAUAAACCACAUGAUUUAUAUCCUAGGUCGGAUAUCUCCACAAAGGGCAUGAAAACGCUCCUAGGUUUGUAGUAUAGAACUAAGAGUGUCUACUCUCACGAUUUCUUCCCGACAUAUGCAAACUAGACAGUAAUCACAUAAAAUAAAGAAAUAUGUGUUAACAUGAACUUAUAGCAUGUAUUUCAACCUAUAGAUUGUUGAUUAUUAUGGUAGAUUAUAUAAUAUAGGGGUUCCCGAAGAAAUACAUAAAAACCAAGAGCAUUAAAAUUUCCUUUUCAGAUUUGGCUAUCUGGUAAAAGGAGUUGGAGUAUCUGAGUUUCCAAAUUUGGGACGUAGCUCUAUAGAACGAAUAUAAAUACGUUGGAAAAAAUUCUACAAGGAAAGGUUUAAUACAAGUAGGGCUAAGAAAAACUCAAUGAGGCUUUGGUCGCAUGGUCACAAGACUUGAGACAAGAAACACGAAGACAACAAGGUAAUUAGUAUGAGAGUUUUCCAAAUUUGGUGUCUUGAUGUAGAAAAAAUAAAUAUAUGACAAACAUGUUUUUUGCAAGGCAUGGUAAAAUAAGUGGGAGUGAGCAAUAAAUUUUAUCAUAGAUUUAGAAGGAAUAAAUAUAUCACUAAAUACGUUUUUUCACAAUGCCAAGUUAAUCAGGCGGGACCGAGAAACAAUUGUAGUAAAGCUAGGUUGUACUAGCCCAAAACUACAUACAACAGAGGAAAAAUGAAGAAAAUGAUGGUCUACCAAAUAUGGCGCAUGAGCCUUAAGGUGCACCUAGAGGGAAGUAGAAGAAAUAAAUAUAUAAUAGGAUAUGUUUUUCGCAAAGCUAGGUGAAGUGUAGAUGUGCUCUAACUAGACUUAGAUUGCAGCGAUACAUUAUGCAUCCACAAGGCUUGGUUGCUCAUGGAAAAAGAUAGAGAGAGAAAUGUAGACGCAGGACCGGGAGAAAAACAUUCAAUGAGACGUGAUUGCACGGACAUAGAACUAGAUAUAAGACAAGAGUUAAAGAAAAAUAAAGGAACUAAAUUUUCUUCUGCACACUAAGCAUGAAUGGAGUUGUAGUAUCUGAGAUCAAAAUUUAAUUUAUUCCAAGAUGUAGAACAAAAACGUGAUACUCGUAAUGGUUACAUAGGAACAAAAGUAGAUAAGAAAAAUAGCAAAAAGAUAGUGGUCUACCAGAGAGGGCACAUGUGCCUCAAUUGGCCUAUAGCAUAGCGACUCAUUAUCCUUCCACCGCUGGUGGCGGGCGGUACUCGCUGCUCUGUGAAGCCAGCCUCACGCAAUGUCCGCCACUUUAGGUGUUGGGAUGCAAAGGCUUUCGCCAAGGCAUCCAAAACCCACUACACAACUUGGAAUGGGUGGUCCACAGUUUGUAGCACUAGACCCAGGCGCAUGCACCACAAUUGACAUCCACACUACCUUAUUGCCCCUGUUCGGGUUACAAGCAAUCGCUACUUGCUCAGCGAGUGAGGGGGGUCAGGACUACCUGUUUAAGGUGGUGAUGUACUCUAUGAGCCGGCGGUGUGGUAUUUACCAACAACAAAUAGUGUCAUGCAUGUGACUUGCUAGUUGACAAAGUCUAUUGUCGAGAUAGAUAUGGGCUAUGGCUGAAGCACAUUUGGAUAUAGUAGGCCUAUUUUGUUUUUUGUUGUUUUUGGGCCACUAUGGACUUUAUGUUGAUGUUGUUUAAUUUUUUCUUGUGUUUCCUCUUCCUACGAUGUGGAAAGUGGGUGCGUCAGAGAAGAAAGAAAGAGUGGCUAGCAUUGAUUUUACGUCAUACCAUUGAGAACACUAAUCAGAAGCAGAAGCAACAAUAUUUCAUACAUAUACAACAGUUGUAAUCCAUAUAAACAACUUUCCUUUAAAAUAUAAUAUAAACCACAUGAUUUAUAUCCUGGGUCGGCUAUCUCCACAAAGGGCAAGAAAACGCUCCAAGUUUGUAGUAUAGAACUAAAAGUGUCGAUUCUCACGAUUUCUUCCCGACAUAUACAAACUAGACAGUAAUCACACAAAAUAAAGAAAUAUGUGUUAACACGAACUUAUAGCAUGUAUUUCAACAUAUAGACUAUUGAUUAUUAUGGUAGAUUAUAUAAAAUAGGGGUUCCCGAAGAAAUACAUAAAAACAAGAGCAUUAAAAUUUCCUUUUCAGAUCUGGCUAUCUAGUAAAAGGAGUUGGAGUAACUGAGUUUCCAAAUUUGUGACGUAGCUCUAUAGAAGGAAUAUAAACACGUUGGAAAAAUUCUACAAGGAAAGGUCUAAUACAAGUAGGGCUAAGAAAAACUCAAUGAGGCUUUGGUCGCAUGGUCACAAAACUUGAGACAAGAAACACGAAGACACCAAGGUAAUUAGUAUGAGAGUUUUCCAAAUUUGGUGUCUUGAUGUAGAAAAAAUAAAUAUAUGACAAACUUGUUUUUUCGCAAGGCAUGGAUAAAUAAGUGGGGGUGAGCAAUAAAUUUCAUCAUAGAUUUAGAAGGAAUAAAUAUAUCACUAAAUACGUUUUUUUCACAAUGCCAAGUUAACCAGGCGGGACCGAGAAACAUUUCUAGCCAGGCUAGGUUGUACUAGCCCGAAACUACAUACAACAGAGGAAAAAUGAAGAAAAUGAUGGUCUACCAAAUAGGGCGCAUGAGCCUUAAGGUGCACCUAGAGGGAAGUAGAAGAAAUAAAUAUAUAAUAGCAUAUGUUUUUCGCAAUGCAAGGUAAAGUGUAGAUGUGCUCUAACUGGGCUUAGAUUGCAGCGACACAUUAUGCAUCUACAAGGCUUGGUUGCACAUGGAAAAAGAUAGAGAGAGAAAUGUAGACGCAGGACCGGGAGAAAAACAUUCAAUGAGACAUGAUUGCACGGACAUAGAACUAGAUAUAAGACAAGAGUUAAAGAAAAAUAAAGGAACUAAAUUUUCUUCUGCACACUAAGCAUGAAUGGAGUUGUAGUAUCAGAGAUCAAAAUUUAAUUUAUUCCAAGAUGCAGAACAAAAACGUGAUACUCGUAAUGGUUACAUAGGAACAAAAGUAGAUAAGAAAAAUAGCAAAAAGAUAGUGGUCUACCAGAGAGGGCACAUGUGCCUCAAUUGGCCUAUAGCAUAGCGACUCAUUAUCCUUCCACCGCUGGUGGCGGGCGAUACUCGCUGCUCUGUGAAGCCAGCCUCACGCAAUGUCCGCCACUUUAGGUGUUGGGAUGCAAAGGCUUUCUCCAAGGCAUCCGAAACCCACUACACAACUUGGAAUGGGUGGUCCACAGUUUGUUGCACUAGACCCAGGCACAUGCACCACAAUUGACAUCCACACUACCUUAUUGCCCCCGCUCGGGUUACAAGCAAUCGCUACUUGCUCAGCGAGUGAGGGGGUUCAAGACUACCUAUUUAAGGUGGUGUUGUACUCUAUGAGCCGACAGUGUGGUAUUUACCAACUACAAAUAGUGUCAUGCAUGUGACUUGCUAGUUGACAAUGUCUGUUGUCGAGCUAGAUGUGGGCUAUGGAUGAAGCACAUUAGGAUAUAGUAGGCCUAUUUUGUUUUUUGUUGUUUUUGGGCCACUAUGGACUUUAUGUUGAUGUUGUGAAAUUUUUUCCUGUGUUUCCUCUUCCUACGAUGUGGAAAGUGGGUGCGUCAGAGAAGAAAGAAAGAGUAGCUAGCAUUGAUUUUACGUCAUACCAUUGAGAACACUAAUCAGAAGCAGAAGCAACAAUAUUUCAUACAUAUACAACACUUGUAAUCCAUAUAAACAACUUUCCUUUAAAAUAUAAUAUAAACCACAUGAUUUAUAUCCUGGGUCGGCUAUCUCCACAAAGGGCAAGAAAACGCACCAAGUUUGUAGUAUAGAACUAAAAGUGUCGAUUCUCACGAUUUCUUCCCGACAUAUACAAACUAGACAGUAAUCACAUAAAAUAAAGAAAUAUGUGUUAACACGAACUUAUAGCAUGUAUUUCAACAUAUAGACUAUUGAUUAUUAUGGUAGAUUAUAUAAAAUAGGGGUUCCCGAAGAAAUACAUAAAAACAAGAGCAUUAAAAUUUCCUUUUCAGAUCUGGCUAUCUAGUAAAAGGAGUUGGAGUAACUGAGUUUCCAAAUUUGUGACGUAGCUCUAUAGAAGGAAUAUAAACACGUUGGAAAAAUUCUACAAGGAAAGGUCUAAUACAAGUAGGGCUAAGAAAAACUCAAUGAGGCUUUGGUCGCAUGGUCACAAAACUUGAGACAAGAAACACGAAGACACCAAGGUAAUUAGUAUGAGAGUUUUCCAAAUUUGGUGUCUUGAUGUAGAAAAAAUAAAUAUAUGACAAACUUGUUUUUUCGCAAGGCAUGGAUAAAUAAGUGGGGGUGAGCAAUAAAUUUCAUCCUAGAUUUAGAAGGAAUAAAUAUAUCACUAAAUACGUUUUAUCAAAAUGCCAAGUUAAUCAGGUGGGAGCGAGAAACAAUUCUAGCGAGGCUAGGUUGUACUAGCCCAAAACUACAUACAACAGAGGAAAAAUGAAGAAAAUGAUGGUCUACCAAAUAGGGCGCAUGAGCCUUAAGGUGCACCUAGAGGGAAGUAGAAGAAAUAAAUAUAUAAUAGCAUAUGUUUUUCGCAAUGCAAGGUAAAGUGUAGAUGUGCUCUAACUGGGCUUAGAUUGCAGCGACACAUUAUGCAUCUACAAGGCUUGGUUGCACAUGGAAAAAGAUAGAGAGAGAAAUGUAGACGCAGGACCGGGAGAAAAACAUUCAAUGAGACAUGAUUGCACGGACAUAGAACUAGAUAUAAGACAAGAGUUAAAGAAAAAUAAAGGAACUAAAUUUUCUUCUGCACACUAAGCAUGAAUGGAGUUGUAGUAUCUGAGAUCAAAAUUUAAUUUAUUCCAAGAUGCAGAACAAAAAUGUGAUACUCGUAAUGGUUACAUAGGAACAAAAGUAGAUAAGAAAAAUAGCAAAAAGAUAGUGGUCUACCAGAGAGGGCACAUGUGCCUCAAUUGGCCUAUAGCAUAGCGACUCAUUAUCCUUCCACCGCUGGUGGCGGGCGAUACUCGCUGCUCUGUGAAGCCAGCCUCACGCAAUGUCCGCCACUUUAGGUGUUGGGAUGCAAAGGCUUUCUCCAAGGCAUCCGAAACCCACUACACAACUUGGAAUGGGUGGUCCACAGUUUGUAGCACUAGACCCAGGCACAUGCACCACAAUUGACAUCCACACUACCUUAUUGCCCCCGCUCGGGUUACAAGCAAUCGCUACUUGCUCAGCGAGUGAGGGGGUUCAAGACUACCUAUUUAAGGUGGUGUUGUACUCUAUGAGCCGACAGUGUGGUAUUUACCAACUACAAAUAGUGUCAUGCAUGUGACUUGCUAGUUGACAAUGUCUGUUGUCGAGCUAGAUGUGGGCUAUGGAUGAAGCACAUUAGGAUAUAGUAGGCCUAUUUUGUUUUUUGUUGUUUUUGGGCCACUAUGGACUUUAUGUUGAUGUUGUGAAAUUUUUUCCUGUGUUUCCUCUUCCUACGAUGUGGAAAGUGGGUGCGUCAGAGAAGAAAGAAAGAGUAGCUAGCAUUGAUUUUACGUCAUACCAUUGAGAACACUAAUCAGAAGCAGAAGCAACAAUAUUUCAUACAUAUACAACACUUGUAAUCCAUAUAAACAACUUUCCUUUAAAAUAUAAUAUAAACCACUUGAUUUAUAUCCUGGGUCGGCUAUCUCCACAAAGGGCAAGAAAACGCACCAAGUUUGUAGUAUAGAACUAAAAGUGUCGAUUCUCACGAUUUCUUCCCAACAUAUACAAACUAGACAGUAAUCACAUAAAAUAAAGAAAUAUGUGUUAACACGAACUUAUAGCAUGUAUUUCAACAUAUAGAUUGUUGAUUAUUAUGGUAGAUUAUAUAAAAUAGGGGUUCCCGAAGAAAUACAUAAAAACAAGAGCAUUAAAAGUUCCUUUUCAGAUCUGGCUAUCUAGUAAAAGGAGUUGGAGUAACUGAGUUUCCAAAUUUGUGACGUAGCUCUAUAGAAGGAAUAUAAAUACGUUGGAAAAAUUCUACAAGGAAAGGUCUAAUACAAGUAGGGCUAAGAAAAACUCAAUGAGGCUUUGGUCACAUGGUCACAAAACUUGAGACAAGAAACACGAAGACACCAAGGUAAUUAGUAUGAGAGUUUUCCAAAUUUGGUGUCUUGAUGUAGAAAAAAUAAAUAUAUGACAAACUUGUUUUUUCGCAAGGCAUGGAUAAAUAAGUGGGGGUGAACAAUAAAUUUCAUCCUAGAUUUAGAAGGAAUAAAUAUAUCACUAAAUACGUUUUUUCACAAUGCCAAGUUAAUCAGGUGGGAGCGAGAAACAAUUCUAGCGAGGCUAGUUUGUACUAGCCCAAAACUACAUACAACAGAGGAAAAAUGAAGAAAAUGAUGGUCUACCAAAUAGGGCGCAUGAGCCUUAAGGUGCACCUAGAGGGAAGUAGAAGAAAUAAAUAUAUAAUAGCAUAUGUUUUUCGCAAUGCAAGGUAAAGUGUAGAUGUGCUCUAACUGGGCUUAGAUUGCAGCGACACAUUAUGCAUCUACAAGGCUUGGUUGCACAUGGAAAAAGAUAGAGAGAGAAAUGUAGACGCAGGACCGGGAGAAAAACAUUCAAUGAGACAUGAUUGCACGGACAUAGAACUAGAUAUAAGACAAGAGUUAAAGAAAAAUAAAGGAACUAAAUUUUCUUCUACACACUCAGCAUGAAUGGAGUUGUAGUAUCUGAGAUCAAAAUUUAAUUUAUUCCAAGAUGCAGAACAAAAACGUGAUACUCGUAAUGGUUACAUAGGAACAAAAGUAGAUAAGAAAAAUAGCAAAAAGAUAGUGGUCUACCAGAGAGGGCACAUGUGCCUCAAUUGGCCUAUAGCAUAGCGACUCAUUAUCCUUCCACCGCUGGUGGCGGGCGGUACUCGCUGCUCUAUGAAGCCAGCCUCACGCAAUGUCCGCCACUUUAGGUGUUGGGAUGCAAAGGCUUUCGCCAAGGCAUCCGAAACCCACUACACAACUUGGAAUGGGUGGUCCACAGUUUGUAGCACUAGACCCAGGCACAUGCACCACAAUUGACAUCCACACUACCUUAUUGCCCCCGCUCGGGUUACAAGCAAUCGCUACUUGCUCAGCGAGUGAGGGGGUUCAAGACUACCUAUUUAAGGUGGUGUUGUACUCUAUGAGCCGACAGUGUGGUAUUUACCAACUACAAAUAGUGUCAUGCAUGUGACUUGCUAGUUGACAAUGUCUGUUGUCGAGCUAGAUGUGGGCUAUGGAUGAAGCACAUUAGGAUAUAGUAGGCCUAUUUUGUUUUUUGUUAUUUUUGGGCCACUAUGGACUUUAUGUUGAUGUUGUGAAAUUUUUUCUUGUGUUUCCUCUUCCUACGAUGUGGAAAGUGGGUGCGUCAGAGAAGAAAGAAAGAGUAGCUAGCAUUGAUUUUCCGUCAUACCAUUGAGAACACUAAUCAGAAGCAGAAGCAACAAUAUUUCAUACAUAUACAACACUUGUAAUCCAUAUAAACAACUUUCCUUUAAAAUAUAAUGUAAACCACAUGAUUUAUAUCUAGGGUCGGCUAUCUCCACAAAGGGCAAGAAAACGCUCCAAGUUUGUAGUAUAGAACUAAAAGUGUCGAUUCUCACGAUUUCUUCCCGACAUAUACAAACUAGACAGUAAUCACAUAAAAUAAAGAAAUAUGUGUUAACACGAACUUAUAGCAUGUAUUUCAACAUAUAGAUUGUUGAUUAUUAUGGUAGAUUAUAUAAAAUAGGGGUUCCCGAAGAAAUACGUAAAAACAAGAGCAUUAAAAUUUCCUUUUCAGAUCUGGCUAUCUAGUAAAAGGAGUUGGAGUAACUGAGUUUCCAAAUUUGUGACGUAGCUCUAUAGAAGGAAUAUAAAUACGUUGGAAAAAUUCUACAAGGAAAGGUCUAAUACAAGUAGGGCUAAGAAAAACUCAAUGAGGCUUUGGUCGCAUGGUCACAAAACUUGAGACAAGAAACACGAAGACACCAAGGUAAUUAGUAUGAGAGUUUUCCAAAUUUGGUGUCUUGAUGUAGAAAAAAUAAAUAUAUGACAAACUUGUUUUUUCGCAAGGCAUGGAUAAAUAAGUGGGGGUGAACAAUAAAUUCAUCCUAGAUUUAGAAGGAAUAAAUAUAUCACUAAAUACGUUUUUUCACAAUGCCAAGUUAAUCAGGUGGGAGCGAGAAACAAUUCUAGCGAGGCUAGGUUGUACUAGCCCAAAACUACAUACAACAGAGGAAAAAUGAAGAAAAUGGUGGUCUACCAAAUAGGGCGCAUGAGCCUUAAGGUGCACCUAGAGGGAAGUAGAAGAAAUAAAUAUAUAAUAGCAUAUGUUUUUCGCAAUGCAAGGUAAAGUGUAGAUGUGCUCUAACUGGGCUUAGAUUGUAGCGACACAUUAUGCAUCUACAAGGCUUGGUUGCUCAUGGAAAAAGAUAGAGACAGAAAUGUAGACGCAGGACCGGGAGAAAAACAUUCAAUGAGACGUGAUUGCACGGACAUAGAACUAGUUAUAAGACAAGAGUUAAAGAAAAAUAAAGGAACUAAAUUUUCUUCUGCACACUAAGCAUGAAUGGAGUUGUAGUAUCUGAGAUCAAAAUUUAAUUUAUUCCAAGAUGCAGAACAAAAACGUGAUACUCGUAAUGGUUACAUAGGAACAAAAGUAGAUAAGAAAAAUAGCAAAAAGAUAGUGGUCUACCAGAGAGGGCACAUGUGCCUCAAUUGGCCUAUAGCAUAGCGACUCAUUAUCCUUCCACCGCUGGUGGCGGGCGGUACUCGCUGCUCUGUGAAGCCAACCUCACGCAAUGUCCGCCACUUUAGGUGUUGGGAUGCAAAGGCUUUCGCCAAGGCAUCCGAAACCCACUACACAACUUGGAAUGGGUGGUCCACAGUUUGUAGCACUAGACCCAGGCACAUGCACCACAAUUAACAUUCACACUACCUUAUUGCCCCCGCUCGGGUUACAAGCAAUCGCUACUUGCUCAGCGAGUGAGGGGGUUCAAGACUACCUAUUUAAGGUGGUGUUGUACUGUAUGAGCCGGCGGUGUGGUAUUUACCAACUACAAAUAGUGUCAUGCAUGUGACUUGCUAGUUGACAAUGUCUGUUGUCGAGCUAGAUGUGGGCUAUGGAUGAAGCACAUUAGGAUAUAGUAGGCCUAUUUUGUUUUUUGUUGUUUUUGGGACACUAUGGACUUUAUGUUGAUGUUGUGAAAUUUUUUCUUGUGUUUCCUUUUCCUACGAUGUGGAAAGUGGGUGCGUCAGAGAAGAAAGAAAGAGUGGCUAGCAUUGAUUUUACGUCAUACCGUUGAGAACACUAAUCAGAAGCAGAAGCAACAAUAUUUCAUACAUAUACAACACUUGUAAUCCAUAUAAACAACUUUCCUUUAAAAUAUAAGAUAAACCACAUGAUUUAUAUCCUGGGUCGGCUAUCUCCACAAAGGGCAAGAAAACGCUCCAAGUUUGUAGUAUAGAACUAAAAGUGUCGAUUCUCACGAUUUCUUCCCGACAUAUACAAACUAGACAGUAAUCACAUAAAAUAAAGAAAUAUGUGUUAACAAGAACUUAUACCAUGUAUUUCAACAUAUAGAUUGUUGAUUAUUAUGGUAGAUUAUAUAAAAUAGGGGUUCCCGAAGCAAUACAUAAAAACAAGAGCAUUAAAAUUUCCUUUUCAGAUUUGGCUAUCUGGUAAAAGGAGUUGGAGUAACUGAGUUUCCAAAUUUGUGCCGUAGCUCUAUAGAAGGAAUAUAAAUACGUUGGAAAAAUUCUAUAAGGAAAGGUUUAAUACAAGUAGGGCUAAGAAAAACUCAAUGAGGCUUUGGUCGCAUGGUCACAAAACUUGAGACAAGAAACACGAAGACACCAAGGUAAUUAGUAUGAGAGUUUUCCAAAUUUGGUGUCUUGAUGUAGAAAAAUAAAUAUAUGAAAAACUUGUUUUUUCGCAAGGCAUGGAUAAAUAAGUGGGGGUGAGCAAUAAAUUUCAUCCUUGAUUUAGAAGGAAUAAAUAUAUCACUAAAUACGUUUUUUCACAAUGCCAAGUUAAUCAGGUGGGACCGAGAAACAAUUCUAGCGAGGCUAGGUUGUACUAGCCCAAAACUACAUACUACAGAGGAAAAAUGAAGAAAAUGAUGGUCUACCAAAUAUGGCGCAUGAGCCUUAAGGUGCACCUAGAGGGAAGUAGAAGAAAUAAAUAUAUAAUAGCAUAUGUUUUUCGCAAUGCAAGGUAAAGUGUAGAUGUGCUCUAACUAGGCUUAGAUUGCAGCGACACAUUAUGCAUCUACAAGGCUUGGUUGCACAUGGAAAAAGAUAGAGAGAGAAAUGUAGACGCAGGACCGAGAGAAAAACAUUCAAUGAGACGUGAUUGCACGGACAUAGAACUAGAUAUAAGACAAGAGUUAAAGAAAAAUAAAGGAACUAAAUUUUCUUCUGCACACUAAGCAUGAAUGGAGUUGUAGUAUCUGAGAUCAAAAUUUAAUUUAUUCCAAGAUGCAGAACAAAAACGUGAUACUCGUAAUGGUUACAUAGGAACAAAAGUAGAUAAGAAAAAUAGCAAAAAGAUAGUGGUCUACCAGAGAGGGCACAUGUGCCUCAAUUGGCCUAUAGCAUAGCGACUCAUUAUCCUUCCACCGCUGGUGGCGGGCGGUACUCGCUGCUCUGUGAAGCCAGCCUCACGCAAUGUCCGCCACUUUAGGUGUUGGGAUGCAAAGGCUUUCGCCAAGGCAUCCGAAACCCACUACACAACUUGGAAUGGGUGUUCCACAAUUUGUAGCACUAGACCCAGGCACAUGCACCACAAUUGACAUCCACACUACCUUAUUGCCUCCGCUCGGGUUACAAGCAAUCGCUACUUGCUCAGCGAGUGAGGGGGUUCAAGACUACCUAUUUGAGGUGGUGUUGUACUCUAUGAGCCGGCGGUGUGGUAUUUACCAACUACAAAUAGUGUCAUGCAUGUGACUUGCUAGUUGACAAUGUCUGUUGUCGAGCUAGAUGUGGGCUAUGGAUGAAGCACAUUAGGAUAUAGUAGGCCUAUUUUGUUUUUUGUUGUUUUUGGGCCACUAUGGACUUUAUGUUGAUGUUGUGAAAUUUUUUCUUGUGUUUCCUCUUCAUACGAUGUGGAAAGUGGGUGCCGUCAGAGAAGAAAGAAAGAGCGGCUAGCAUUGAUUUUACGUCAUACCAUUGAGAACACUAAUUAGAAGCAGAAGCAACAAUAUUUCAUACAUAUACAACACUUGUAAUCCAUAUAAACAACAUUCCUUUAAAAUAUAAUAUAAACCACAUGAUUUAUAUCCUGGGUCAGCUAUCUCCACAAAGGGCAAGAAAACGCUCCAAGUUUGUAGUAUAGAACUAAAAGUGUCGAUUCUCACGAUUUCUUCCCGACAUAUACAAACUAGACAGUAAUCACAUAAAAUAAAGAAAUAUGUGUUAACACGAACUUAUAACAUGUAUUUCAACAUAUAGAUUGUUGAUUAUUAUGGUAGAUUAUAUAAAAUAGGGGUUCCCGAAGAAAUACAUAAAAACAAGAGCAUUAAAAUUUCCUUUUCAGAUCUGGCUAUCUGGUAAAAGGAGUUGGAGUAACUGAGUUUCCAAAUUUGUGACGUAGCUCUAUAGAAGGAAUAUAAAUACGUUGGAAAAAUUCUACAAGGAAAGGUUUAAUACAAGUAGGGCUAAGAAAAACUCAAUGAGGCUUUGGUCGCAUGGUCACAAAACUUGAGACAAGAAACACGAAGACACCAAGGUAAUUAGUAUGAGAGUUUUCCAAAUUUGGUGUCUUGAUGUAGAAAAAAUAAAUAUAUGACAAACUUGUUUUUUCGCAAGGCAUGGAUAAAUAAGUGGGGGCGAGCAAUAAAUUUCAUCCUAGAUUUAGAAGGAAUAAAUAUAUCACUAAAUACGUUUUUUCAUAAUGCCAAGUUAAUCAGGUGGGAGCGAGAAACAAUUCUAGCGAGGUUAGGUUGUACUAGCCCAAAACUACAUACAACAGAGGAAAAAUGAAGAAAAUGAUGGUCUACCAAAUAUGGCGCAUGAGCCUUAAGGUGCACGUAGAGGGAAGUAUAAGAAAUAAAUAUAUAAUAGCAUAUGUUUUUCGCAAUGCAAGGUAAAGUGUAGAUGUGCUCUAACUGGGCUUAGAUUGCAGCGACACAUUAUGCAUCUACAAGGCUUGGUUGCACAUGGAAAAAGAUAGAGAGAGAAAUGUAGACACAGGACCGGGAGAAAAACAUUCAAUGAGACAUGAUUGCACGGACAUAGAACUAGAUAUAAGACAAGAGUUAAAGAAAAAUAAAGGAACUAAAUUUUCUUCUACACACUCAGCAUGAAUGGAGUUGUAGUAUCUGAGAUCAAAAUUUAAUUUAUUCCAAGAUGCAGAACAAAAACGUGAUACUCGUAAUGGUUACAUAGGAACAAAAGUAGAUAAGAAAAAUAGCAAAAAGAUAGUGGUCUACCAGAGAGGGCACAUGUGCCUCAAUUGGCCUAUAGCAUAGCGACUCAUUAUCCUUCCACCGCUGGUGGCGGGCGGUACUCGCUGCUCUGUGAAGCCAGCCUCACGCAAUGUCCGCCACUUUAGGUGUUGGGAUGCAAAGGCUUUCGCCAAGGCAUCCGAAACCCACUACACAACUUGGAAUGGGUGUUCCACAGUUUGUAGCACUAGACCAUGGCACAUGCACCACAAUUGACAUCCACACUACCUUAUUGCCCCCGCUCGGGUUACAAGCAAUCACUACUUGCUCAUCAAGUGAGGGGGUUCAAGACUACCUAUUUAAGGUGGUGUUGUACUCUAUGAGCCGACGGUGUGGUAUUUACCAACUACAAAUAGUGUCAUGCAUGUGACUUGCUAGUUGACAAUGUCUGUUGUCGAGCUAGAUGUGGGCUAUGGAUGAAGCACAUUAGGAUAUAGUAGGCCUAUUUUGUUUUUUGUUGUUUUUGGGCCACUAUGGACUUUAUGUUGACGUUGUGAAAUUUUUUCUUGUGUUUCCUCUUCCUACGAUGUGGAAAGUGGGUGCCGUCAGAGAAGAAAGAAAGAGUGGCUAGCAUUGAUUUUACGUCAUACCAUUGAGAACACUAAUCAGAAGCAGAAGCAACAAUAUUUCAUACAUAUACAACACUUGUAAUCCAUAUAAACAACUUUCCUUUAAAAUAUAAUAUAAACCACAUGAUUUAUAUCCUGGGUCGGCUAUCUCCACAAAGGGCAAGAAAACGCUCCAAGUUUGUAGUAUAGAACUAAAAGUGUCGAUUCUCACGAUUUCUUCCCGACAUAUACAAACUAGACAGUAAUCACAUAAAAUAAAGAAAUAUGUGUUAACACGAACAUAUAGCAUGUAUUUCAACAUAUAGAUUGUUGAUUAUUAUGGUAGAUUAUAUAAAAUAGGGGUUCCCGAAGAAAUACAUAAAAACAAGAGCAUUGAAAUUUCCUUUUCAGAUCUGGCUAUCUGGUAAAAGGAGUUGGAGUAACUGAGUUUCCAAAUUUGUGACGUAGCUCUAUAGAAGGAAUAUAAAUACGUUGGAAAAAUUCUACAAGGAAAGGUUUAAUACAAGUAGGGCUAAGAAAAACUCAAUGAGGCUUUGGUCGCAUGGUCACAAAACUUGAGACAAGAAACACGAAGACACCAAGGUAAUUAGUAUGAGAGUUUUCCAAAUUUGGUGUCUUGAUGUAGAAAAAAUAAAUAUAUGACAAACUUGUUUUUUCGCAAGGCAUGGAUAAAUAAGUGGGGGCGAGCAAUAAAUUUCAUCCUAGAUUUAGAAGGAAUAAAUAUAUCACUAAAUACGUUUUUUCAUAAUGCCAAGUUAAUCAGGUGGGAGCGAGAAACAAUUCUAGCGAGGCUAGGUUGUACUAGCCCAAAACUACAUACAACAGAGGAAAAAUGAAGAAAAUGAUGGUCUACCAAAUAUGGCGCAUGAGCCUUAAGGUGCACCUAGAGGGAAGUAGAAGAAAUAAAUAUAUAAUAGCAUAUGUUUUUCGCAAUGCAAGGUAAAGUGUAGAUGUGCUCUAACUGGGCUUAGAUUGCAGCGACACAUUAUGCAUCUACAAGGCUUGGUUGCACAUGGAAAAAGAUAGAGAGAGAAAUGUAGACACAGGACCGGGAGAAAAACAUUCAAUGAGACAUGAUUGCACGGACAUAGAACUAGAUAUAAGACAAGAGUUAAAGAAAAAUAAAGGAACUAAAUUUUCUUCUGCACACUCAGCAUGAAUGGAGUUGUAGUAUCUGAGAUCAAAAUUUAAUUUAUUCCAAGAUGCAGAACAAAAACGUGAUACUCGUAAUGGUUACAUAGGAACAAAAGUAGAUAAGAAAAAUAGCAAAAAGAUAGUGGUCUACCAGAGAGGGCACAUGUGCCUCAAUUGGCCUAUAGCAUAGCGACUCAUUAUCCUUCCACCGCUGGUGGCGGGCGGUACUCGCUGCUCUGUGAAGCCAGCCUCACGCAAUGUCCGCCACUUUAGGUGUUGGGAUGCAAAGGCUUUCGCCAAGGCAUCCGAAACCCACUACACAACUUGGAAUGGGUGGUCCAAAGUUUGUAGCACUAGACCCAGGCACAUGCACCACAAUUGACAUCCACACUACCUUAUUGCCCCCGCUCGGGUUACAAGCAAUCGCUACUUGCUCAGCGAGUGAGGGGGUUCAACACUACCUAUUUAAGGUGGUGUUGUACUCUAUAAGCCGGCGGUGUGGUAUUUACCAACUACAAAUAGUGUCAUGCAUGUGACUUGCUAGUUGACAAUGUCUGUUGUCGAGCUAGAUGUGGGCUAUGGAUGAAGCACAUUAUGAUAUAGUAGGCCUAUUUUGUUUUUUGUUGUUUUUGGGCCACUAUGGACUUUAUGUUGAUGUUGUGAAAUUUUUUCUUGUGUUUCCUCUUCCUACGAUGUGUAAAGUGGGUGUGUUAGAGAAGAAAGAAAGAGUGGCUAGCAUUGAUUUUACGUCAUACCAUUGAGAACACUAAUCAGAAGCAGAAGCAACAAUAUUUCAUACAUAUACAACACUUGUAAUCCAUAUAAACAACUUUCCUUUAAAAUAUAAUAUAAACCACAUGAUUUAUAUCCUGGGUCGGCUAUCUCCACAAAGGGCAAGAAAACGCUCCAAGUUUGUAGUAUAGAACUAAAAGUGUCGAUUCUCACGAUUUCUUCCCGACAUAUACAAACUAGACAGUAAUCACAUAAAAUAAAGAAAUAUGUGUUAACACGAACUUAUAGCAUGUAUUUCAACAUAUAGAUUGUUGAUUAUUAUGGUAGAUUAUAUAAAAUAGGGGUUCCCAAAGAAAUACAUAAAACAAGAGCAUUAAAAUUUCCUUUUCAGAUCUGGCUAUCUGGUAAAAGGAGUUGGAGUAACUGAGUUUCCAAAUUUGUGACGUAGCUCUAUAGAAGGAAUAUAAAUACGUUGGAAAAAUUCUACAAGGAAAGGUUUAAUACAAGUAGGGCUAAGAAAAACUCAAUGAGGCUUUGGUCGCAUGGUCACAAAACUUGAGACAAGAAACACGAAGACACAAAGGUAAUUAGUAUGAGAGUUUUCCAAAUUUGGUGUCUUGAUGUAGAAAAAAUAAAUAUAUGACAAACUUGUUUUUUCGCAAGGCAUGGAUAAAUAAGUGGGGGUGAGCAAUAAAUUUCAACCUAGAUUUAGAAGGAAUAAAUAUAUCACUAAAUACAUUUUUUACAAUGCCAAGUUAAUCAGGUAGGAGCGAGAAACAAUUCUAGCGAGGCUAGGUUGUACUAGCCCAAAACUACAUACAAAAGAGGAAAAAUGAAGAAAAUGAUGGUCUACCAAAUAUGGCACAUGAGCCUUAAGGUGCACCUAGAGGGAAGUAGAAGAAUAAAUAUAUAAUAGCAUAUGUUUUUCGCAAUGCAAGGUAAAGUGUAGAUGUGCUCUAACUGGGCUUAGAUUGCAGCGACACAUUAUGCAUCUACAAGGCUUGGUUGCACAUGGAAAAAGAUAGAGAGAGAAAUGUAGACGCAGGACCGGGAGAAAAACAUUCAAUGAGACGUGAUUGCACGGACAUAGAACUAGAUAUAAGACAAGAGUUAAAGAAAAAAGGAACUAAAUUUUCUUGUGCACACUAAGCAUGAAUGGAGUUGUAGUAUCUGAGAUCAAAAUUUAAUUUAUUCCAAGAUGCAGAACAAAAACGUGAUACUCGUAAUGGUUACAUAGGAACAAAAGUAGAUAAGAAAAAUAGCAAAAAGAUAUUGGUCUACCAGAGAGGGCACAUGUGCCUCAAUUGGCCUAUAGCAUAGUGGCUCAUUAUCCUUCAACCGCUGGUGGCGGGCGGUACUCGCUGCUCUGUGAAGCCAGCCUCACGCAAUGUCCGCCACUUUAGGUGUUGGGAUGCAAAGGCUUUCGCCAAGGCAUCCGAAACCCACUACACAACUUGGAAUGGGUGGUCCACAGUUUGUAGCACUAGACCCAGGCACAUGCACCACAAUUGACAUUCACACUACCUUAUUGCCCCCGCUCGGGUUACAAGCAAUCGCUACUUGCUCAGCGAGUGAGGGGGGUUCAAGACUACCUAUUUAAGGUGGUGUUGUACUGUAUGAGCCGGCGGUGUGGUAUUUACCAACUACAAAUAGUGUCAUGCAUGUGACUUGCUAGUUGACAAUGUCUGUUGUGGAGCUAGAUGUGGGCUAUGGAUGAAGCACAUUAGGAUAUAGUAGGCCUAUUUUGUUUUUUGUUAUUUUUGGGCCACUAUGGACUUUAUGUUGAUGUUGUGAAUUUUUUUCUUGUGUUUCCUCUUCCUACGAUGUGGAAAGUGGGUGCGUCAGAGAAGAAAGAAAGAGUGGCUAGCAUUGAUUUUACGUCAUACCAUUGAGAACACUAAUCAGAAGCAGAAGCAACAAUAUUUCAUACAUAUACAACACUUGUAAUCCAUAUAAACAACUUUCCUUUCAAAUAUAAUAUAAACCACAUGAUUUAUAUCCUGGGUCGGCUAUCUCCACAAAGGGCAAGAAAACGCUCCAAGUUUGUAGUAUAGAACUAAAAGUGUCGACUCUCACGAUUUCUUCCCGACAUAUGCAAACUAGACAGUAAUCACAUAAAAUAAAGAAAUAUGUGUUAACACAAACUUAUAACAUGUAUUUCAACAUAUAGAUUUUUGAUUAUUAUGGUAGAUUAUAUAAUAUAGGGGUUCCCGAAGAAAUACAUAAAAAACAAGAGCAUUAAAAUUUCCUUUUCAGAUCUGGCUAACUGGUAAAGGGAGUUGGAGUAUCUGUGUUUCCAAAUUUGGGACGUCGCUCUAUAGAAGGAAUAUAAAUACAUUGGAAAAAAAUUCUACAAGGAAAGGUUUAAUACAAGUAGGGCUAAGAAAAACUCAAUGAGGCUUUGGUCGCAUGGUCACAAAACUUGAGACAAGAAACACGAAGACACCAAGGUAAUUAGUAUGAGAGUUUUCCAAAUUUGGUGUCUUGAUGUAGAAAAAAUAAAUAUAUGACAAACUUGUUUUUUCGCAAGGCAUGGAUAAAUAAGUGGGGGUGAGCAAUAAAUUUCAUCCUAGAUUUAGAAGGAAUAAAUAUAUCACUAAAUACGUUUUUUCAUAAUGCCAAGUUAAUCAGGUGGGAGCGAGAAACAAUUCUAGCGAGGCUAGGUUGUACUAGCCCAAAACUACAUACAACAGAGGAAAAAUGAAGAAAAUGAUGGUCUACCAAAUAUGGCGCAUGAGCCUUAAGGUGCACCUAGAGGGAAGUAGAAGAAAUAAAUAUAUAAUAGCAUAUGUUUUUCUCAAUGCAAGGUAAAGUGUAGAUGUGCUCUAACUGGGCUUAGAUUGCAGCGACACAUUAUGCAUCUACAAGGCUUGGUUGCACAUGGAAAAAGAUAGAGAGAGAAAUGUAGACACAGGACGGGGAGAAAAACAUUCAAUGAGACAUGAUUGCACGGACAUAGAACUAGAUAUAAGACAAGAGUUAAAGAAAAAUAAAGGAACUAAAUUUUCUUCUGCACACUCAGCAUGAAUGGAGUUGUAGUAUCUGAGAUCAAAAUUUAAUUUAUUCCAAGAUGCAGAACAAAAACGUGAUACUCGUAAUGGUUACAUAGGAACAAAAGUAGAUAAGAAAAAUAGCAAAAAGAUAGUGGUCUACCAGAGAGGGCACAUGUGCCUCAAUUGGCCUAUAGCAUAGCGACUCAUUAUCCUUCCACCGCUGGUGGCGGGCGGUACUCGCUGCUCUGUGAAGCCAGCCUCACGCAAUGUCCGCCACUUUAGGUGUUGGGAUGCAAAGGCUUUCGCCAAGGCAUCCGAAACCCACUACACAACUUGGAAUGGGUGGUCCACAGUUUGUAGCACUAGACCCAGGCACAUGCACCACAAUUGACAUCCACACUACCUUAUUGCCCCCGCUCGGGUUACAAGCAAUCGCUACUUGCUCAGCGAGUGAGGGGGUUCAAGACUACCUAUUUAAGGUGGUGUUGUACUCUAUAAGCCGGCGGUGUGGUAUUUACCAACUACAAAUAGUGUCAUGCAUGUGACUUGCUAGUUGACAAUGUCUGUUGUCGAGCUAGAUGUGGGCUACGGAUGAAGCACAUUAUGAUAUAGUAGGCCUAUUUUGUUUUUUGUUGUUUUUGGGCCACUAUGGACUUUAUGUUGAUGUUGUGAAAUUUUUUCUUGUGUUUCCUCUUCCUACGAUGUGGAAAGUGGGUGUGUUAGAGAAGAAAGAAAGAGUGGCUAGCAUUGAUUUUACGUCAUACCAUUGAGAACACUAAUCAGAAGCAGAAGCAACAAUAUUUCAUACAUAUACAACACUUGUAAUCCAUAUAAACAACUUUCCUUUAAAAUAUAAUAUAAACCACAUGAUUUAUAUCCUGGGUCGGCUAUCUCCACAAAGGGCAAGAAAACGCUCCAAGUUUGUAGUAUAGAACUAAAAGUGUCGAUUCUCACGAUUUCUUCCCGACAUAUACAAACUAGACAGUAAUCACAUAAAAUAAAGAAAUAUGUGUUAACACAAACUUAUAGCAUGUAUUUCAACAUAUAGAUUGUUGAUUAUUAUGGUAGAUUAUAUAAAAUAGAGGUUCCCGAAGAAAUACAUAAAAACAAGAGCAUUAAAAUUUCCAUUUCAGAUCUGGCUAUCUGGUAAAAGGAGUUGGAGUAACUGAGUUUCCAAAUUUGUGACGUAGCUCUAUAGAAGGAAUAUAAAUACGUUGGAAAAAUUCUACAAGGAAAGGUUUAAUACAAGUAGGGCUAAGAAAAACUCAAUGAGGCUUUGGUCGCAUGGUCACAAAACUUGAGACAAGAAACACGAAGACACCAAGGUAAUUAGUAUGAGAGUUUUCCAAAUUUGGUGUCUUGAUGUAGAAAAAAUAAAUAUAUGACAAACUUGUUUUUUCGCAAGGCAUGGAUAAAUAAGUGGGGGCGAGCAAUAAAUUUCAUCCUAGAUUUAGAAGGAAUAAAUAUAUCACUAAAUACGUUUUUUCAUAAUGCCAAGUUCAUCAGGUGGGAGCGAGAAACAAUUCUAGCGAGGUUAGGUUGUACUAGCCCAAAACUACAUACAACAGAGGAAAAAUGAAGAAAAUGAUGGUCUACCAAAUAUGGCGCAUGGGCCUUAAGGUGCACCUAGAGGGAAGUAUAAGAAAUAAAUAUAUAAUAGCCUAUGUUUUUCGCAAUGCAAGGUAAAGUGUAGAUGUGCUCUAACUGGGCUUAGAUUGCAGCGACACAUUAUGCAUCUACAAGGCUUGGUUGCACAUGGAAAAAGAUAGAGAGAGAAAUGUAGACACAGGACGGGGAGAAAAACAUUCAAUGAGACAUGAUUGCACGGACAUAGAACUAGAUAUAAGACAAGAGUUAAAGAAAAAUAAAGGAACUAAAUUUUCUUCUGCACACUCAGCAUGAAUGGAGUUGUAGUAUCUGAGAUCAAAAUUUAAUUUAUUCCAAGAUGCAGAACAAAAACGUGAUACUCGUAAUGGUUACAUAGGAACAAAAGUAGAUAAGAAAAAUAGCAAAAAGAUAGUGGUCUACCAGAGAGGGCACAUGUGCCUCAAUUGGCCUAUAGCAUAGCGACUCAUUAUCCUUCCACCGCUGGUGGCAGGCGGUACUCGCUGCUCUGUGAAGCCAGCCUCACGCAAUGUCCGCCACUUUAGGUGUUGGGAUGCAAAGGCUUUCGCCAAGGCAUCCGAAACCCACUACGCAACUUGGAAUGGGUGGUCCACAGUUUGUAGCACUAGACCCAGGCACAUGCACCACAAUUGACAUCCACACUACCUUAUUGCCCCCGCUCGGGUUACAAGCAAUCGCUACUUGCUCAGCGAGUGAGGGGGUUCAAGACUACCUAUUUAAGGUGGUGUUGUACUCUAUAAGCCGGCGGUGUGGUAUUUACCAACUACAAAUAGUGUCAUGCAUGUGACUUGCUAGUUGACAAUGUCUGUUGUCGAGCUAGAUGUGGGCUAUGGAUGAAACACAUUACGAUAUAGUAGGCCUAUUUUGUUUUUUGUUGUUUUUGGGCCACUAUGGACUUUAUGUUGAUGUUGUGAAAUUUUUUCUUGUGUUUCCUCUUCCUAUGAUGUGGAAAGUGGGUGGGUUAGAGAAGAAAGAAAGAGUGGCUAGCAUUGAUUUUACGUCAUACAAUUGAGAACACUAAUCAGAAGCAGAAGCAACAAUAUUUCAUACAUAUACAACACUUGUAAUCCAUAUAAACAACUUUCCUUUAAAAUAUAAUAUAAACCACAUGAUUUAUAUCCUGGGUCGGCUAUCUCCACAAAGGGCAAGAAAACGCUCCAAGUUUGUAGUAUAGAACUAAAAGUGUCGAUUCUCACGAUUUCUUCCCGACAUAUACAAACUAGACAGUAAUCACAUAAAAUAAAGAAAUAUGUGUUAACACGAACUUAUAGCAUGUAUUUCAACAUAUAGAUUGCUGAUUAUUAUGGUUGAUUAUAUAAAAUAGGGGUUCCCGAAGAAAUACAUAAAAACAAGAGCAUUAAAAUUUCCUUUUCAGAUCUGGCUAUCUGGUAAAAGGAGUUGGAGUAACUGAGUUUCCAAAUUUGUGACGUAGCUCUAUAGAAGGAAUAUAAAUACGUUGGAAAAAUUCUACAAGGAAAGGUUUAAUACAAGUAGGGCUAAGAAAAACUCAAUGAGGCUUUGGUCGCAUGGUCACAAAACUUGAGACAAGAAACACGAAGACACCAAGGUAAUUAGUAUGAGAGUUUUCCAAAUUUGGUGUCUUGAUGUAGAAAAAAUAAAUAUAUGACAAACUUGUUUUUUCGCAAGGCAUGGAUAAAUAAGUGGGGGUGAGCAAUAAAUUUCAUCCUAGAUUUAGAAGGAAUAAAUAUAUCACUAAAUACGUUUUUUACAAUGCCAAGUUAAUUAGGUGGGAGCGAGAAACAAUUCUAGCGAGGCUAGGUUGUACUAGCCCAAAACUACAUACAACAGAGGAAGAAUGAAGAAAAUGAUGGUCUACCAAAUAUGGCACAUGAGCCUUAAGGUGCACCUAGAGGGAAGUAGAAGAAUAAAUAUAUAAUAGCAUAUGUUUUUCGCAAUGCAAGGUAAAGUGUAGAUGUGCUCUAACUGGGCUUAGAUUGCAGCGACACAUUAUGCAUCUACAAGGCUUCGUUGCACAUGGAAAAAGAUAGAGAGAGAAAUGUAGACGCAGGACCGGGAGAAAAACAUUCAAUGAGACGUGAUUGCACGGACAUAGAACUAAGUAUAAGACAAGAGUUAAAGAAAAAAGGAACUAAAUUUUCUUGUGCACACUAAGCAUGAAUGGAGUUGUAGUAUCUGAGAUCAAAAUUUAAUUUAUUCCAAGAUGCAGAACAAAAACGUGAUACUCGUAAUGGUUACAUAGGAACAAAAGUAGAUAAGAAAAAUAGCAAAAAGAUAUUGGUCUACCAGAGAGGGCACAUGUGCCUCAAUUGGCCUAUAGCAUAGUGGCUCAUUAUCCUUCCACCGCUGGUGGCGGGCGGUACUCGCUGCUCUGUGAAGCCAGCCUCACGCAAUGUCCGCCACUUUAGGUGUUGGGAUGCAAAGGCUUUCGCCAAGGCAUCCGAAACCCACUACACAACUUGGAAUGGGUGGUCCACAGUUUGUAGCAAUAGACCCAGGCACAUGCACCACAAUUGACAUUCACACUACCUU
rnacentral:lncRNA from 1 species